GAAGCAGAGCUCGAAGGAUCCUGAAGAACAGCCAGGACGUUAGGAUUGUAGUCACCGUCGUCGUCACAACCAGCACCGCCCACACGUCCGCAUUGUACAGCUGGUACCUGGAUGUAAACACAACACUUCUGCUAGGGAGGAUGACCCACGAACUGAGACGAACCAAGGCAUGUGCCCAGCUGGAGAACGAAGGUGGCUUGCUCCUUGGUGUCUGAGGACAUAUUCCACCCAGUACGUGGCCCAGUCUCCUGGUGACAUUGGCUGGUCUCGCAUCAACCUGGACCGCUGCUGUACCUCCUCCAGUAUUCUGUGUGGCCCCAACACGGCAGGAAUAAAAGUACAGCUUCAC